UUAAGCAUAUCAAUAAGCGGAGGAAAAGAAACCAACAGGGAUUACCUCAGUAACGGCGAGUGAAGCGGUAACAGCUCAAAUUUGAAAUCUGGGCCUUUCAGGCUCCGAGUUGUAAUUUGUAGAAGAUGCUUCGGGUGCGGCUCCGGUCUAAGUUCCUUGGAACAGGACGUCAUAGAGGGUGAGAAUCCCGUAUGUGAUCGGUUGCUUGCGCCCGUGUGAAGCUCUUUCGACGAGUCGAGUUGUUUGGGAAUGCAGCUCAAAAUGGGUGGUAAAUUUCAUCUAAAGCUAAAUAUUGGCCAGAGACCGAUAGCGCACAAGUAGAGUGAUCGAAAGAUGAAAAGCACUUUGGAAAGAGAGUUAAACAGUACGUGAAAUUGUUGAAAGGGAAGCGCUUGCAACCAGACUUGCGCGUUGCCGAUCAUCCGGGGUUCUCCCCGGUGCACUCGGCCUCGCUCAGGCCAGCAUCGGUUUCGGUGGUGGGAUAAAGGCCUUGGGAAUGUAGCUCCUCUCGGGGAGUGUUAUAGCCCUCGGUGCAAUGCCGCCUACCGGGACCGAGGACCGCGCUUCGGCUAGGAUGCUGGCGUAAUGGUUGUAAGCGACCCGUCUUGAAACACGGACCAAGGAGUCUAACAUCUAUGCGAGUGUUUGGGUGUCAAACCCAUACGCGUAAUGAAAGUGAACGGAGGUGAGAACCCUUAAGGGUGCAUCAUCGACCGAUCCUGAUGUCUUCGGAUGGAUUUGAGUAAGAGCAUAGCUGUUGGGACCCGAAAGAUGGUGAACUAUGCCUGAAUAGGGUGAAGCCAGAGGAAACUCUGGUGGAGGCUCGCAGCGGUUCUGACGUGCAAAUCGAUCGUCAAAUUUGGGUAUAGGGGCGAAAGACUAAUCGAACCAUCUAGUAGCUGGUUCCUGCCGAA
rnacentral:rRNA from 1 species